AAAUGUUUGGCGGAUAACGUUUACAACCAAGGAUUUUCGAAUAUUUAAGGCAUUUGGCGACGUUUUACUUAUCUCAAAUAUCUGUCAUGGAUAAAUAAAGUUAUUUAAAUCUAUGUGACAUCAAAAUUAUUUCGAUACCUGUAAAAUAUCGGCGUUCGUGUUCAUUUGAAAAUCGCUCGUGCAAGAAUCGAAUUUGCCUCAUAGUUGUCAAGACAAGAUAAUGCGCAGCUCGCUUUCCAAGUUUAGAGGCAGUUAUGAUCUAGAAUAUGUUUCAAUGCGCAAAAACUGUGAUAAUAUUAUCACUACACCUUGCUAUAGCAUUUGGAUAUGGUAUUCAUCAGUACGUAUGGUUGUUAUUGUCAUAACAUGCAGGGGCGGAUCUGGGUUCAUAUCAUAAUGA